GAGUUUGAUCUUGGCUCAGAUUGAACGCUGGCGGCAUGCCUUACACAUGCAAGUCGAACGGCAGCACGGGAGCUUGCUCCUGGUGGCGAGUGGCGAACGGGUGAGUAAUGCAUCGGAACGUAUCCUGGAGUGGGGGAUAACGUAGCGAAAGUUACGCUAAUACCGCAUAUUCUGUGAGCAGGAAAGCGGGGGACCUUUGGGCCUCGCGCUCUUGGAGCGGCCGAUGUCGGAUUAGCUAGUUGGUGAGGUAAAGGCUCACCAAGGCGACGAUCCGUAGCAGGUCUGAGAGGAUGAUCUGCCACACUGGAACUGAGACACGGUCCAGACUCCUACGGGAGGCAGCAGUGGGGAAUUUUGGACAAUGGGGGCAACCCUGAUCCAGCCAUGCCGCGUGAGUGAAGAAGGCCUCGGUUGUAAG
rnacentral:rRNA from 1 species